rnacentral:lncRNA from 1 species
UGUUUGAGUAUCUUAGACAUCAAAAUGGUCUUGUUCUUUAACACUCGUUCUUGUUUAUCCAAUAUGCCCACUAGUACUUCAUCAUAAGAUAGGUCUUUCUUGAUAGGAAUAUCUCAUGUUGAAGCACAUGAGAUAGAUCAGGGUGAUACUAGCAUAGCAUUGACACAUGAAAGACAUCAUGGAUAUUAGCUAAUUCUGGUGGUGAUUCUAGCCUGUACGUAGUAGUCCCUACUCUUUCUAAUAUCUUGAACGGUCCAAUAUAGCGACGACUCAAUUUUCCUUUCUUUUUAAAUCUCAUAAUGCCCUUGAUUAGUUAUACUUUUAAGAACACGUGAUCACUUGUCUCGAACUCCAAGCAUCUUUUAUCAUCAUUUGCAUAACUCAUUUGUUUG